AUGAUUUUGAUACGUGCAUUGGAAAAAAUGAAGAAGCUAUUCAAAUUGAUCCUCACUUUGCUGAGUGUUAUGGAAACAUGGCAAAUGCUUGGAAGGAGAAGGGCAACAUUGAUGUUGCAAUCCGCUACUAUUUAAUUGCUAUCGAGCUCCGACCAAAUUUUGCUGAUGCAUGGUCAAAUUUAGCAAGUGCAUAUAUGUGUAAAGGGCAGUUUAACGAGGCAGCUCAUUGUUGUCGCCAGGCUCUUGCAC